GUCGAACGCGAAAGCCCCGCAAGGGGUAAGUAGAGUGGCGAACGGGUGAGUAACACGUGGGUGACCUACCUUCGAAUGGGGGAUAACGUCCCGAAAGGGACGCUAAUACCGCAUAACAUCCUGCUCUUGAAUGGGUGGAGAUCAAAGCCGGGGAUCGCAAGACCUGGCGUUUGAAGAGGGGCCCGCGUCUGAUUAGCUAGUUGGUGAGGUAACGGCCCACCAAGGCGACGAUCAGUAUCCGGCCUGAGAGGGCGGACGGACACACUGGGACUGAGACACGGCCCAGACUCCUACGGGAGGCAGCAGUGGGGAAUUGUUCACAAUGGGCGCAAGCCUGAUGACGCAACGCCGCGUGGAGGAUGAAGGUCUUCGGAUUGUAAACUCCUGUUGCCCGGGACGAAACGUUUCGACCUAACACGUCGAGAUCUGACGGUACCGGGUGAGGAAGCCCCGGCUAACUCUGUGCCAGCAGCCGCGGUAAUACAGAGGGGGCAAGCGUUGUUCGGAAUUACUGGGCGUAAAGGGCGCGUAGGCGGCCUUCUAAGUCGAACGUGAAAUCCCCGGGCUCAACCCGGGAACUGCGUCCGAUACUGGAAGGCUUGAAUCCGGGAGAGGGAUGCGGAAUUCCAGGUGUAGCGGUGAAAUGCGUAGAUAUCUGGAGGAACA
rnacentral:rRNA from 1 species